rnacentral:rRNA from 1 species
GAUGAACGCUGGCGGCGUGCCUAAUACAUGCAAGUCGAACGAAACUUCUUUAUCACCGAGUGCUUGCACUCACCGAUAAAGAGUUGAGUGGCGAACGGGUGAGUAACACGUGGGCAACCUGCCCAAAAGAGGGGGAUAACACUUGGAAACAGGUGCUAAUACCGCAUAACCAUAGUUACCGCAUGGUAACUAUGUAAAAGGUGGCUAUACUACCGCUUUUGGAUGGGCCCGCGGCGCAUUAGCUAGUUGGUAGGGUAAAGGCUUACCAAGGCAAUGAUGCGUAGCCGAAUUGAGAGGUUGAUCGGCCACAUUGGGACUGAGACACGGCCCAACUCCUACGGGAGGCAGCAGUAGGGAAUCUUCCACAAUGGGCGAAAGCCUGAUGGAGCAACGCCGCGUGGGUGAAGAAGGUCUUCGGAUCGUAAAACCCUGUUGUUAGAGAAGAAAGUGCGUGAGAGUAACUGUUCACGUUUCGACGGUAUCUAACCAGAAAGCCACGGCUAACUACGU